ensembl:snRNA U6 U6 spliceosomal RNA
GUGCUAGCUUCAGUAGCUCACAAACUAAAAAGGGAGCCCUACAGAAGAUUAGCAUGACUCCUGAGCAAAGAUAACAUGCAGAUUCAGAAGGCACCUCUUCUUUUA